rnacentral:lncRNA from 1 species
GGGGACUACCGGCGCCGAUUCGCGCCCAGGAAGAGGCAAUUCUGGCAAUCACGCGGUGACCAGUCAAUGACCAGAACGCUUCCCUGAGGCCAUACCCCAAACUGGCAGCCAAUCUCUCGCUCCAUAGCCGUCCCCACCUGGAUGUAACCAUGAAGAAACGAAGGGGUGGAGUUGGAAAAGGGACGAAGACAUUUGCCACUUAAUACCGGUGUCCACUCAGACUCGCAUGCACUGAAUAGGUCUCAUGAAAGCCAGCCACAGUCCCCCAGCGGGCAGGAGAGAGAAAGCUUCGGACUGAGAUCUGAAGGCCUGGCGUGGGGAAGGCCUCUGUCGUCGAGUGCGAGUAAUACGUGAAAAGGACAACAAGACCUUCCAUUCUGUUCGGAAAGGGAUCAUCUCCAAGGGGACCCACAAACACCGCAUAGGUGUGAUAUCCUGAAUCUCAGCUGGUGGUUCCUAUCGUUGAGGUUGCUCAACACUGGGCUGCUGGUCCUAGUAGAGUGUGCAUCAUUGUGGGAACAUGGAGAAAGGCUCAAUCUUUACAGCCUGACUACGGCGAUUUUCUCAGAGUCUAUGGCUGAGGACAAGAACUAUGGCACCGUGACACCUGUGAGGAGAAAGAUGACAACCUCGUGGGCCUUCCUUUUCAAUGGCCCCAUAUUGCAAUGUCCAACCAGCCCAAAACUCACUGGCUCCCCCUCACACGUACUCACACAACUCCAGACAGGACAGAUAUGUGGACUUACCUGGUAAGUCUCAAGUAGUGAGAAAGAAUUGAGACAGAAUAAACAUGUCCAUCUGAGGCCUAACGCUCCUCA